CGAUUACAGUUUGAUUCUGGCUCAGGAGAAACGCUGGCGGCGUGCCUAAUGCAUGCAAGUCGGACGGUCGCUUCCGCGGCCGGGGGGAACGGGUGAGUAACGCGUAUGUGACCUACCCUCUGUGGGGCAUAACCCGGGGAAACUCGGGCUAAUUCCGCAUACGGUCUCGGCGUAUUAGCUGAUAAGAAAGCCGAGAGGCGCUUGGGGAGGGGCCUGCGUCCGAUUAGCUGGUUGGUGGGGUAACGGCCUACCAAGGCGGUGAUCGGUAGCCGGUCUGACUUUCGGCCGGCCACACUGGAACUGGGACACGGUCCAGACUCCUACGGGAGGCAGCAUGAAGGGAUAUUGCGCUUUGGCCGGAAGGCUGACGCAACGACGCCGCGUGGGGGAUGAAGGCUCUCGGGUCGUAAACCCCUUUUGUGUGGUACGAAGACUGACGGUACCACACGAAGAAGCCCCGGCUAACUACGUGCCAUCAGCCGCGGUAAUACGUAGGGGGCGAGCGUUGUCCGGAUUUACUGGUUGUAAAGCGUCCGCAGGCGGCCAUCCAAGUCCGGUGUGAAAGCCCCCCGCUCAACGGGGGGAGGUCAUCGGACACUGGCUGGCUGGAGGAUAGCAGAGGGAGAUGGAAUUCCCGGAUCACCGGUGAUAUGCGUAGAGACGGAACUAACACCGGUGGCGAAUGCAAUCCCCUGGGCUACUCCUGACGUUCAUGGACGAAAGCGCGACCAGCGAACCUGAUUAUGUACUCUCGUAUACCUUUCCCGACUCGAUGGGUAGUCCGUGUUCCUGGUAUAUAUCCCCCCACGUCCCCCAGAUACCGGGAUAAGUACUCCGCUUUGGGAGUAUGUACGCAAGCAUAAUACUCAAAGGAAUUGAGGGGGACCCUCACAAGCAGCGGACAGUGUGGUUUAAUUCGAUGCAACGCGAAGAACCUUACCAGGGCUUGACAUGGGUCGCACGCCGGGGGAAACCCCGGCUCCUUCGAGGGUGGUCCACAGGUUUUGCAUGGCUGUCGUCACCUCGUACCGUGAGGUGUUGGGUUAAGUCCCGCAACGAGCACAACCCCCGUUGGCAGUUAGGUUUUUUAUCGGGCCCACCGGGAAAACCCGUAAGAAGGUGGGGAUGACGUCAAGUCAGCACGGCCCUUACUUCCUGGGGGAUACACACGGUACAAUGGCACGGACAACGGGGUUCGAACCCUCAAGGCGGAUCCAAUUCCAGCAAACCGUGCCCCAGUACAGAUUGUCGGCUGAAACCCGCCGGCAUGAAGGCGGAGUUGGUAGUAACCGCGGGUCAGCACUACCGCGGUGAAUGCGUUUCCGGGCCUUGUACACACCGCCCGUCACGUCAUGAAAGCCGGCAACACCUGAAGUCCGUGCGCCGACCCGCGAAGUGGGCAGCGGCCCAGUGUGGGCCUGGUGAUUGAGUGAAGUCGUAACAAGGUAGCCGU
rnacentral:rRNA from 1 species